CAAAAGAAAGGAAAUAGAGAUUCAGAUUCCCCAAUUUCCACGUGAUUGGGAGAACUUUGUAGCUGCAUUUUUGCCUUCUUUGCAUUGGACAAUUAUUGUCCCACAUCGACCAACAUUCCUAAUAGCCGUCUUUAGAAUCUCUAUAACUAUAGAUAUGUUCUUCAUUGUUUUGCAUCAGUUGCAAUGUCACAAGCCAUAAUGAGGGAGCACAAUUUCAGUUGCAGUCCCCCAUGGUAACGGGCUUGAAUCAGCCCUUGUCGUCUCUGCCAUUUCCCCAAUACAGAAUACUGCCGCCACCGCUCUCUACCAUACUACACUCUCCAAUCUUUGGAGAAAAAUGCAAAUAGAAAAUUCUUGAAGUCUAAGAGUCUACGGUUUGUGGGCUGCAAAUUUUUCUUACACGUUUGUCCAUCUACUUUUAUGGUUAUUGGUGGAAGUUCUCAGGAUUAGAAGUGAGCACCCUGAUGAUGCUUCUGUCUUACAACAAGCCAUAGUGAAGGGUUCCCUGAAGUUUACAUGAGCUUCCGGGCCAGGUUAUCUCAAAGAGCUCAUUUUAUUCUACAGCCCAAAUGGAACAAUGCACUUCAAGAGCCCUUCAGAAUUGACUAUAUUGGAACUUCCCCUUACAUGAACUGUUUACCAUCAUUUCACCACCAAAAGCUUGUCCCUAAAGACAAGUUUUUGGUCUUAUCUUUUGUUGGACUUUACCAAUACUUCACCAAUGAAGAAUUAGUUUCAGAAGUUGAGUUCUUCAUGUCUAAAUUCCCAGAGGGAGAUCCGUCUCAACAUCUUGUUGAUGAACUGUAUUCAAAUGCAAAUAAAUCUGGGGUUGAUUUCCAUGUGUUUCUUCACAUACCACCUGGAGAUAGUCUGAGAUACCAUGAUGAAGUAUAGAUUAUCAUUAUUUCUUUCAAAGGAAAGAUAUGGAAAUCAUCGGUCUAAUUAGUCAUCAAUGAACUAGAUCUUAUUCUCAAACUAUAAAAGUGUUGUUAACAUUGUUA